rnacentral:tRNA from 2 species
GCCCAGAUGGCGGAACUGGUAGACGCGCCAGACUCAAAAUCUGGUAUUCGCAAGGAUGUGCAGGUUCGAUUCCUGUUCUGGGCA